GGCGAGAUGGCCGAGCGGUCUAAGGCGCCAGACUAAGGAAGUUACCAAACUUACGUAAUCUGGUCCUCACGGGCGUGGGUUCGAAUCCCACUCUCGUCA
rnacentral:tRNA from 1 species